UCCCUGGAGGACUAGUGGUUCGGCCACAGCGCUCUCUCCGCUUUGGCCCGGGUUCGAUUCCCAGCCAGGGAA
rnacentral:tRNA from 1 species